CUGAGCCGUAUGAGGUAGGAAACUCUCAAGUACGGUUCUAGGGAAAGGAACUGCCUAUUCCAAC
rfam:Zea mays complete chloroplast genome